GUCCAUGGCCAUGUUACCCUGAACAACCCUGAUCCCAUCUGAUCUUGGAAGCUAAGAAGGGUCAGGCCUGGUUAGUGCUUGGACGGGAGACCACCUAGGAAGACUAAGUGCUGUAGGUG
rnacentral:rRNA from 1 species